rnacentral:rRNA from 1 species
AUUGAACGCUGGCGGCAGGCCUAACACAUGCAAGUCGAACGAGUGGCGGACGGGUGUGUAAUGUCGGGGAAACUGCGUGAUGGGGGGGGAUAACUACUGGAAACGGUAGCUAAUACCGCAUACCAUCAGAUGUGCCCAGAUGGGAUUAGCUUGUGGGUGGGGUAACGGCUCACCAAGGCGACGCGCCCUAGCUGGUCUGAGAGGAUGACCAGACACACUGGAACUGAGACACGGUCCAGACUCCUACGGGAGGCAGCAGAGGGGAAUAUUGCACAAUGGGCGCAAGCCUGAUGCAGCAAUGCCGCGUGUAUGAAGAAGGCCUUCGGGUUGUAAAGUACUUUCAGCGGGGAGGCGUUAACCGCAGAAGAAGCACCGGCUAACUCCGUGCCAGCAGCCGCGGUAAUUC